GGGUCGGGUUUUAACAGAUAGGAGGUUUGUGCUGGUCUGCUGCUCCAAUACUACUUCAGAGACAAUGCAAGUGUAUUUGUAUAGCAUAUUUAAACAAUGACUUUUCACAUGUAACCAUUAAAACCACCGAAAUGAAAAAAAUGUUACUGUCUGUUUGCCCAGUCAAACAGGAAGUCAUUUAUUUAAACCAUCGUUAGGGAAAUACACAGGUGGAUCCCGGUAUGAAGAAGCAGCUGGCCCAUCACAGCAGACCACUCCGCCAUCUGGAUGUUGAAACCUGCAGCUCCACCGCGGCUCUCUGUGGCUGGGAGCGUUUAGCCGUAAACGACGCUCUACACAUGUGUCUCAUCCUACUGACGCGCAUCAAACCCAGUUGUUGAGCUGAAUGCAUCAACUUCUGGGAACCUUUGAGAGCGACACGUUAUCAAAUCCCAGACACAAGACCGGAAAGACCAGAAAAACAGCAGCCUGAUCCAGAGAGGAUGGCGUCAUCUGUUCAAGCCAACUUCUCCUCACCAGUGAAGUAUAAUGCUGACUCGAACAACAAAGCAAAGAAGAGGCUAUUACCCAGUGGAUUGGACGCACUGGCCUACCUGCCCGUUCAGUUGAGGACGAAGAUUUUGUUCAAAUGAUGCUGACCAUUGAUAAGAGGUUGACGGUUGUCAAGGAAACAAAAAUAACUAAUUUAAUUGAUGAACUUUAAAAUGCCGAAAGGCAGACAUUUAAAGACAGACUCGCCACAGCAUGCAAAAUUACAUAUGGACAAAAAAAGGCCUCACAGCAGCAUUCCUUGCCAUUAGUGCAUGCUACUAUUGCACUCAGCAAAACACAUACUGCUGAGGCUUGAGCAGAUCUCCCACCCACACACUGCAGAGUGUAUAAAAACAUGUGUUGACCGAUGCACAGAGGACUGGGGAAUUUCAAAAGAAAAGAUUCUGACUGUAAUAACAGAUAACGGGAGCAACAUGGUUGCAGCAUUCAAAAACGAAGAUGAUGAGCACAGCUCUGAGGAUGAAGAAGUCCAGAACAGUGAUGAAGAGUUUGAGGAGGGUGAUGAAGAGCAAAAAGGUACGGAGCCAUAAAGAGGACACCCUGCGCUGUACACACGAUGCAACUCGUGGUUAACAUGACCCAGAAGGAACAAAGUGUAAAACGACUCUUUGACAAACUAAGAGGACUUGUCAGGCUCUUCCGCAAGUCGUCUGCAGCAACUGAGCGACUGCUCGAGCUGUGUGGACUUACUCUGGUCAAAGACUGCGUCACUAGAUGGUCCAGCUCAUACCAGAUGAUCUCCCGCCUUCUUGAAGUGAAGGACUCAAUUGUCCAGGUUGCUGAUGGGAUGGAUUGGGACUGUCUCCUGCCCAGUGAGUGGCAGAAGCUGGCUGCUCUCAGAGACCUGCUCCUCCCCUUCGCAGAGCAUACCAAGAUGCUACAGAGCGACACCAUGUCCCUAUCCCUGGUGGUUCCCGCCCUCUUGGACCUGAGUGCUCACCUGUCCCAGUUACCCCAGGGCACUGGCUACAGGGACCUAGCUGGCCUGGCACAAAAAAUGAAGGCAAACAUGGAGCAGCGCUUCAGCUGCUUCCUUGAGCCCAUGGAUCCAAAGUUCUCGCCCCUCGCCACCGCUGCAUGCUUCCUUGAUCCAACUGUUUCACCUGAAACCCUCAUUGAAAAUGAGGACAGCCAAAUUCACCCACAUGGAAAGAACCUAUAUAAACAUAUAUGUUUUAAUAUAUGUUUUGAUAUAGGUAAUUGAUAUAUGUGACAUAUAUAAAAUUGGCCGUUUUCCUAUGUUAUAUUAUAUAUGUACAUAUAUGCGCCACAUAUAUGCAGGCAUAUAUGCACGCAUACAUGUACACAUAUAUAUACAUGCAUAAAUGUACCUAUAUAGGUACAUAUAUGCACAUACUGUAUGUCCACCUAUAUAUUAGUAAAAUUAUUAAAAUCCAAACUAGGAAACAAAAAUAAAAGCCCAAAAUGUGGAAAUUUACACGCACAACCAUCUCUAGGGUUUACAGAGAAUGGUCCGAAAAAGAAAAAACAUCCAGUGAGAGGCAGUUCUGUGGGCGGAAAUGCCUUGUUGAUGCCAGAGGUCAGAGGAGAAUGGCCAGACUGGUUCGAGCUGAUAGAAGGGCAACAGUGACUCAAAUAACCACCCGUUACAACCAAGGUGGGCAUAAGAGCAUCUCUGAACGCACAGUACGUCGAACUUUGAGGCAGAUGGGCUACAGCAGCAGAAGACCACACCGGGUGCCACUCCUUUCAGCUAAGAACAGGAAACUGAGGCUACAAUUUGCACAAGCUCAUCAAAAUUGGACAAUAGAAGAUUGGAAAAACGUUGCCUGGUCUGAUGAGUCUCGAUUUCUGCUGCGACAUUCGGAUGGUAGUGUCAGAAUUUGGCGUCUACAACAUGAAAGCAUGGAUCCAUCCUGCCUUGUAUCAACGGUUCAGGCUGGUGGUGGUGGUGUCAUGGUGUGGGGAAUAUUUUCUUGGCACUCUUUGGGCCCCUUGGUACCAAUUGAGCAUCGUUGCAACGCCACAGCCUACCUGAGUAUUGUUGCUGACCAUGUCCAUCCCUUUAUGACCACAAUGUACCCAACUUCUGAUGGCUACUUUCAGCAGGAUAAUGCGCCAUGUCAUAAAGCUGGAAUCAUCUCAGACUGGUUUCUUGAACAUGACAAUGAGUUCGCUGUACUCAAAUGGCCUCCACAAUCACCAGAUCUCAAUCCAAUAGAGCAUCUUUGGGAUGUGGUGGAACGGGAGAUUCG